rnacentral:rRNA from 1 species
GACGAACGCUGGCGGCGUGCCUAAUACAUGCCAGUAGAACGCUGAAGGAGGAGCUUGCUUCUCUGGAUGAGUUGCGAACGGGUGAGUAACGCGUAGGUAACCUGCCUGGUAGCGGGGGAUAACUAUUGGAAACGAUAGCUAAUACCGCAUAAUAUUGACUAUUGCAUGAUAGUCAGUUGAAAGGUGCAACUGCACCACUACCAGAUGGACCUGCGUUGUAUUAGCUAGUUGGUGGGGUAACGGCUCACCAAGGCGACGAUACAUAGCCGACCUGAGAGGGUGAUCGGCCACACUGGGACUGAGACACGGCCCAGACUCCUACGGGAGGCAGCAGUAGGGAAUCUUCGGCAAUGGACGGAAGUCUGACCGAGCAACGCCGCGUGAGUGAAGAAGGUUUUCGGAUCGUAAAGCUCGGUUGUAAGAGAAGAACGAGUGUGAGAGUGGAAAGCUCACACUGUGACGGUAUCUUACCAGAAAGGGACGGCUAACUACGUG